ACAUCUUGAAAAACUAUCUGGGAAAAUCCAGCAUUUGAAGGAGCAGAGUAAAUGUGAGGUUCCUGAUGAUGUAAGCAUUAUUCAUCUGAAAACCAUGUGGAUUCCUUGUAAGCAGCUACUAUGUUUAGCUGGAGAGAUCACUGAAAAGAGGAAGUGGCUGGAGUGGAAUAUAGAAAACUGCUGUUUUCACUUCAGAUCUUGCAGAGACUAGCAGAUGCUUGGCUAUUGUUUCAAGCAAGUGGAAUCCAAGCAGUAAAGACAAGAAUCUCACAAACAAAUGUUUGUUAGAAUAAUCAUGUAAUGAAACAAAGAAUGAAAAUAAGAUUGAGGUUCUGACACUACACUUCAACAAACACGACUGUACCGGUUAGCAUCAAAUGUAGAUGAAUGCUUUGGAACUGAUGCUGAACUGUAAGUAUAAAUUAUAUGCCAGCUUUAAGUUAUAUGAACUAGUCAAGCAUUUUCAGUUAUCAGUCUCUUUACAGCAGAACUAUCUUUUAGUUCAACUGCUUCAGAUAGUCACAGGCCCCCACACCUCCCAAACUCCUACCUUUAUAUUCCAGCUGAAUGGCCUUGAAGAGUAAACAGUCAGAUACCAGCACAACCAUGCUUUACAGUAAGUCUUCACAGCUCAAGCACUAUCUCUUCAGUCUGUCUGCUUUGACUUGGACUAGGCUAAUUUAAGUGGAAUCAACAUAGGUUAAUACUACACUGAAUAUAAUAAAGCUCAAAGACUUGGAGAAACUACCAAAGCUCAGCUGCCUAUGAAUAAAAUACAAAAUAAGGCACUAAGUGUAUUAACUGCUUAUCAACUUCAGGUUCUUAAGACUCAUUUCUAGUGUCUAAUUUUCACACAGUUGAUACAGCAUUCAAGGAAAUGAUUAGAUGGAAUUAAAUAGUUUUAGAGCAGUUUUACAUUGCAGGAAAAGUGUAUAAAGUUUUAGCCUGAAGUCUUAUUAAUGAAAAAAAAAUAUUUUGGGAUAAUGGCUGACAUAUGUAUUUGUCAUUAAAUCAGCUGUUAACUGAAAAAAGGCAUUUUAUAAGAGGGAAAAAAAAAUCAGUAUAAAUGCUGGGAAGAUCAUACUUCUAGACCUUUCUUCAGUAGUGUUCUAUGGCAUGCAAGACACUGAACAAAACAGAGUUGCUGUAGUUUAGUUUCCACAGUUCUUAGCAGAAUCCUAAAGACAGUGUAAUAAUCUACACACGGGAUGGUAAUCAAUUUUUGUUGAGCAGCCCAAAGCCUCCCCGAAGAGGCAGCUCUGUCAUCCUGUAUUUUAAUCACUCAGGAUUGUAUGAAGAAGGGUUAAUCUUCCAUGUCAUAUAUAUAAGUAACUUAGAUAUGUUACAAUGGUGUCUGCUUAAGAUGAUUCCACACUUCUUCACCUCUAAAUUUCCCACUAAUUCUGCUCUGGCAUUAUCAGCAAAGCUGAAUGGGGCAGAUAAAGCAGGGGAGAGAAGCAUAAAGAAGGCCAUACCAUUAACUGAGAUAUAAUGAAAAGUUAUUUAUGGCACUUUAAACAGUUCUUAAAAUUAAUGAAAACUUAUGCAAAGUUUCUCUCCUGCAGAGUCUUCU